UCCAAGUGUCCAGCCUGAGGCAUCCUCCCCAUCCCUUCCUCUCCCAGCACCUCAAACAUUCAUCAAGGAUUUUGUAUCCAAGGCCCAAAAGUUUGUUACCCAAGACGACAAAUAUUGACAUGGAUGCAGUUGAUGCUGAAAAUCAUUUGGAAUUGGAGGGAAAAACACAGCUUAUUAAUCAAGUGUUGGAACCCCAACAUACACUUCAAGAUCUCCCUGUCAGAGGAGAUGCGGUUACGGAAGAAAAUCUCAAGCUAAAAUCAGAAAACCAAGUUUCUUAGACAAUACACAGAAAAUUUCAUGUCAGCUUCUAGUGUUUUUCAAACAACUGACACAAAAAGCAAAAGAA
rnacentral:lncRNA from 1 species